rnacentral:lncRNA from 1 species
AGCUUAACGGAGUUAGUUGAAUCUCGAGAGAGUCUCUCGGGACUGGACUAACCACAAGUUGUGGUGAACCAGGAUAAAUUCGGUGUGUUCUUUCCUUGCUAUUUUUAUUACCGAAUUAAUUUUAUUCCUGCAUUUUUUAAUUCCGCAAUAUUUAUCAAUAUUCUCGUGCCGCACUAUUCACCCCCCCUCUAGUGACGGGCAUAAAACCUAACAAACAUUACUUGAUUAUCAAACUUCGAACACAAAUUAAACCCAGUUCAAAUCACCUCAAACACCCACAUGCAUCACAGAUUGCUUCAGCAGCUUAAAAACUUUUUAAAAGAAAAAUCACAGAAGAAGAAAUCAACGGAAUAGUAAAUUGCAGUGGUUUUCAUAUUUUUGGAAAUUGUCUCACUCAAUUCUAUAUAGACAGUAAAGUCUUGUAGUUUUUGGUAUUUUUUCUCAAUUUUCAGCCCCCUUUUUCUAUAGCAGAAGCAUGCUUUUAUAACCAUCCUACUAAGGUUAUUCCCUCCCAUAUAUAAAACCUCCAAUUUCCCCCACAUUUCUCACAUGUGACCUCCACAUCUACUAGAAAAUCUUCCCUAAAAAAAUAAGAUUUCCUUUUAUCCUAAAUCUCCAAAUUGACCCUCGAUCAAAUGCCUAAGCUAACCUCUAAUACACAGGUUAUUUACCCUCCCCAAAACCGAUCUGAACAAGGGUCAUUCUGGCCCAAACAAACAGGGUUCGAGGCCUGUUAUUGAGUCAGACUGAAGCGAGUCGAGGGCCUAAAACCCAUACCCAGCUCAUGCACAAACCAAAAUUCCCCCAUAUAUGAACAAAACAAAAUCCCAGUAGAGUCGUCAGAGCUUUCACACCUCCUGUUUCACUACACCGCGCAAGGGCGUAAAAGAGAUUUUCCAGUUAAAAGACAAUCAGAACGAGAUUUAUUUAUUAAUUAUUCAGAUUCGCCACUUGGGAGAUUAUUGGUGUCCCAAGUCACCGGUUUAAUCCCAAACCGAAGAAUAAUAUUACUCUAUUAGUAGUCCGCGAAAUAGAAAUUCGGAUAAGGAAUUCUGUUAUCCCAGCAACAGCAGUAGCAAUAAUUAGCCUCGAACUCGUACAACCCAAUAGUGAAGUUAAACUAGAAACUAACAAACAUUACUUGAUUAUCAAAAUUCGAACCCAAAUUAAACCCACUUCAAAUCACCUCAAACACCCAAAAGCAUCACAGAUUGCUUCAGCAGCCUAAAAACUUUUGAAAAGAAAAAUCACAGAAGAAGAAAUCAACGGAAUAGUAAACUGCAGUGGUUUUCAUAUUUUUGGAAAUUGUCUCACUCAAUUCUAUAUAGACAGUAAAGUCUUGUAGUUUUUGGUAUUUUUUCUCGAUUUUCAGCCCCCGUUUUCUAAAGCAGAAGCAUGCUUUUAUAACCAUCCUACUAAGGUUAUUCCCUCCCAUAUAUAAAACCUCCAAUUUCCCCCACAUUUCUCACAUGUG